AGAUGGCCAAUCAAAUCAAAAAAGGCGAGUGCCACUGGCCAAUCACAUAACAGAAGACGAGAGUUCCUGUUAACGCAAGCCGAGCGGCGGCCAAUCAAAUUAACCAAUAGGCGGGUUUACCGCCAGGAGAAGCAGUUACACCGUGUCAAUCAAUCAUAACGGACACGGAUUUCAAAGGCAGCAGGAUGAAAGAUAACCAUCUAUCAGGUCUGAGUUCAUUAAGACAUGAAGACUCUGGAGUGGGACAAGAGAAGGAUGAUGGGGUGUUAUUCCAAUAGACACAUUAAGUGAAAGCUGAUAAAUACAGAGGGCUGGACAGUGGUUUCAUUGAUUAAGUAAAGAGGUGGGACAAGGAUGCUGACAGGACAGGAGGAGAUGACAUUCAGACAUUCAGCGCAGACAUUUUCAUCCAAAGCAACUUGAGGAAGAUAACAGAAGCAGUUCACCCUAAAAGUGGGCUGCUGUAAUGUUUACAUCUAUGGAAAGAGGAGCUGAGAAGAAAAGAGACGCUGGAAAGCAGUACUUCUUGUUGAGGACAAUCCUGAAUAGGAACACUUUCUCAUAUACACAUAGAUUAUUAGUAGUGUUUGAUUAACUGGAACUUGUAUCUUUGCGUGAAGUUGGCUGUAGAGUUGGUUUCACAUACACAUUAAGUUUCUAAUUAACUAACUUUUAAGUUCAGUUUGGUUUAAACUUCUAUUUACCCAUGGUAAUUCAUUUAAAUUUCAAUUCAUGCUAAUAUAUUAAUUUCAGUGAAAACUUCUGUAUUUGUGUAUAGCUGGUAAUUUGGGCAAACUACAUUUCACACACCAAUGUAACUGUCACAAAGUUUUUUUUAUUAUCAGUUUGUUCUAAACUUUUGUAAGUUUACUAAGGAUGAAAUUGCUUUGUAAUUUAAGUUGUUGGUGUUGGAUUCAUGCCAAUAAUGUAUUUGAACAAACUAGUAUUUUUGUUUAUUGCUGGCAGUUUAUACUAGAAGAGUUUUAACACAUACAAUUUUGUAGUGUUAUUGACUUGUGUGUUAUUGAUUAAUAAAAGGCAAACAAUUUGAAAGUAAUUUUUCGUGUGAUUUAUUUAUUAAUAUAAUUUGGGCAAGAUUAGGCUGAGUUAUGGCUCAGUUUUGGAAGUUCUGGUUAAAUGCUGGUUUUAAUAUGGUUGACCUAUGGCUGAGAACUGGUACCGAUGUUAGAACCUGUUCUGGCCCAGGUUUGGGCCGAUUAUGGGCUAUUAUCUGGCAGAGACAUGGGCCAGUUAUGGCCCAUGUGUGGCCCUUGUCUGUAAUUCAGAACUGGGCCACUGUAGGGCCGUCAUUCUUCGUUGUAUGUGGGCCGAGGAGAAACUGGUUGUGUGGG